GUAAUUUUUGUUGGAAAACUUUAUGCCUUUAUAUCAGUAAUUGCUAUUCACAAUCAAGGAUUGUGAAUAUUAGAAUGGUUACUCAGUCCUCAUUUUUCAGGCUGGAAUGUUCUGCCUUUUUCUGAUACAUAUGCAUAAUUAUCUGCUGAUGGUUGCACUAAAAUAUUAUCUUUAACAGGCAUGGACAUUCAUGUUUUAUAUCUCACUUGAAAAAUUCUACCUCUCCAAUUCUUACAAUUUUUCUCCUACUAUCAAGUUGAAUUGACAGACUUUUUUUUAGCACCAAUUUCUUUUCACAUGUCUCAUGAUGAUGGGUGAGUCUCUUUGUUAUGUCAGGUUACACAUUCCCCUCUUUCUUGAUCUACCCUUCCUCUUGUAGCUGGGUCAAUGUUGUAUACAGAUAGAGGUAAGCAAAGAGGGGUAGUAUCUGUUUUUAUUAAUGAUAAAUUCCUGGACCUCUGAUGGAAGGUAACACAUAAGAUGCAGCUGUGAGAUCCUUUUAUCCUUUAUUUUCAGAUUCUGUAGAAUCACAUAGAUAUUUUCAUCUAAACCCUUACUCUCUAGUGAAAAUGUUUUCCAUUUUUUCCCAGAAGGCUUGUGCCAGUGUCAAUACUGUUCUCACUCAGAUGAUCAGAGAGUACCCAGGGUAUCAGAGGGGAUCUGGCCUUUCCCAGUGUCAGUGCGCUUUAGAGCCUCACCUGGUCUCAGGAGGUUUCAAGGCCUUCCCCAGAUUUUCAAUCUUGUUUAGAAAGGGCCACAUGAUCUUCCUGGUGCUUGUAAUAUUGCCCUGUGUUUAGAAGAUGUCUAACCCUUAUAAAGAAUCUCAGCUUCAUUAAUUUUAUUCAUUAUUAUCUCAAUUGCGUUCAAAAUAAUCUUCAAAUUCAUAGGAAGAGAAAGGGGCUUCCUUAUUUUGACAGAUGUGUGCACAACCUUUGCAAGAAUCUUAGUGGUCUCAUUGCCUUUCCAGGCUCUCAGUACAGAUCAGCACCAUUCACAGAUUCACAAUUUAAUCCAAACCUUCCCAAAGGUUCAUAGGUCUUGUUGCUUUUUGCAGGGGAACCCUGAGAUCAGAGCCAACCUCAGAGUAUUCUUUUACUUCAGAGUCUAUUAUAGGUUGUCCCUGAGGCUCGGUGCUAUUCUCAGAAUCUCAGUGAUGCUCAAUGUUUCUUCCAAUUUCAGAGUGGGGCUCUGAAUCUUCUGAAAGAAAACAUGGGGCUCAGGGUUGACCAGGGUUUCUCAAUGAAUCCCAGAGCCUUCCACAGGUUGUUUCUGGAACUAAGUGUCAUUCCCAGCAACACAGUGGUGCUUGGCAUCUUUCUCAGUGUUUGAUUUGUGUCCAGGCUUUCCCAAGUCUCAUUGUGGGUUCUUGGGCCUACAGUACUAUUUCAGUGGAUAUAAAACUCUGCACAAUAUCUAGUGCUGCUCAGAUACUCCCACAGUAUUCUGGGAAAUUAAUGACUUUCUUAAUGUCUGAUUGGGGAAUAGAUCCUUGUCCAGUGUGUCACUGUGACAGAGAGAUAGCCCCCUUAUCAUAGUGGUGCUCAGGGCCUUUCCCAGUGUGUCAGCAGCACUCAGGGUUACCCCAUGAUCACACGUGUAAGCUCAGGGCUUUCUCCAGGGUCUCAGUCUGGCUCAGUGCUUUCUCAAAUGACUUACAGGUGCUCAGGAAAUUCUCUCGGGUCUUUUUUGAGAUGCCAGAUGUGAUUGGGGUUCUGAGUUUUCCCCUAGAACUUCUCUGAGGCAAAAGGCCUUCAAUACACAGUUUUACAUGUUGUUUCAGGGCCUCCACCAGGGUCAAGUUUGAGUUGUGGAUCUUUCCUAGCGUUUCCUUGCGUCAGUGUUUUUGCAGCUCAACAAUGAAGCGCAUGGCUUUCCCAUGCUAUAAUGGAUCUCAGUGCAUUCCCCAGUGUAUCUUUAGUUGUCAGAAAAAUCUCCAAAAUUUCACUGUGACUUAGAGCUGUCCAUGAAAUUUCAGGGGUAUUCAGAUGCUUUCCUUGUGUUUUUGUGAUUCAAAGCUUUCAAAGUGUCUCUUGGCAUUCAGAACAUUUAUAAUAUUUUAGUUGAGCUUUCCCACUGUUUCACUGGAUUUCAGGGCUUUUGCAGGUCACUUAGGAAGCUCAUGAUUCUGGUAAUUACUCAGUGGAUUAUAGAUUCUUGCCCAGGGAUUCGGUGGAUGUCAUAAUCUUCUACAGUCUCACAGUUUAGCUCAGGGUGUUUUUCCAGAAUCUUAGUGUUCUCCUUCCCUCCCUCAUGCAUUCAGUUCAGCUCAUGGACAUUUAUAGUAUCUCAGUGUGGUUCACGGUGUUACCCAGGUUUCCAAAGAGAAAAAGACCUCACCCAACGCCUCGGUAGAACUCAUGGCCAUUACCAGACUCUGACUAUUACUCAGGGCCUUUUACAUAGUCUCAGUCAAGUUAUAUGCUAUUCCCAGAAUCUCAUAAUGGCUUAAAUAAUUCUCCCAAAUCACAUUGAGUUCAGAGAUUUUGCAAGGGUCUCACUCAUCUCAGCACCUUUCCCAGGUUGUGUGUUUAUUGCCAUUCCCUGGUUUGCAGGGUUGCCCAGGGCCAGCCCAGAGUCUACUGAGUUGUAGGAUAUUCCCCAGAGUCUCAGUGGUGUCCAGAGUCUUCUGCAGUGUCUUAGUCAUGAAAUUACAUUUCAGGCACUGAGUGAAGCUAUAGUCUUCCGGUAAUACCAAUGAUCAGGCAUACCCUAGAGUCUUAGUGACACUCCAUGUAUCAGAGGGGCUCAGAGUCUUUCCCUGUCUCAUAGACCUGUCAAGGCUACACUGAGUCUCUUCCUGUAAGCUCAGGGCAUUCUCCAUGGUCUCGGUCUGGCACAGUGCAUUUAUCCAUGAGUUACGGGGCUCAGGGAGUUUUCUAAGGU
rnacentral:lncRNA from 1 species